CCGUAAAUUGCUGCUUUGCUGACGAGUGGCGGACGGGUGAGUAAUGUCUGGGAAACUGCCUGAUGGAGGGGGAUAACUACUGGAAACGGUAGCUAAUACCGCAUAACGUCGCAAGACCAAAGAGGGGGACCUUCGGGCCUCUUGCCAUCGGAUGUGCCCAGAUGGGAUUAGCUAGUAGGUGGGGUAACGGCUCACCAAGGCGACGAUCCCUAGCUGGUCUGAGAGGAUGACCAGCCACACUGGAACUGAAACACGGUCCAAACUCCUACGGGAGGCAGCACGGGGGAAUAUUGCACAAUGGGCGCAAGCCUGAUGCAGCCAUGCCGCGUGUAUGAAGAAGGCCUUCGGGUUGUAAAGCACUUUCAGCGGGGAGGAAGGGAGUAAAGUUAAUACCUUUGCUCAUUGACGUUACCCGCAGAAGAAGCACCGGCUAACUCCGUGCCAGCAGCCGCGGUAAUACGGAGGGUGCAAGCGUUAAUCGGAAUUACUGGGCGUAAAGCGCACGCAGGCGGUUUGUUAAGUCACAUGUGAAAUCCCCGGGCUCAACCUGGGAACUGCAUCUGAUACUGGCAAGCUUGAGUCUCGCAGAGGGGGGUAGAAUUCCAGGCGUAGCGGCGAAAUGCGUAGAGAUCUGAAGGACUACCGGUGGCGA
rnacentral:rRNA from 1 species